UGUGUUGAGAAGUGGCUUCAUGGGUUCUUGACAUUUCGGGUUAAGAUAGAAACGCACUGAGGUGCGCGUUUGGCGGAGGACCCAAACAACAAGGGACUUCAGGGUCUAAAGCGUAGGUACAUGAGUGUGCUGAAUGAGGAUCCAAUUUGGCCUACUAGUGGGUUGGAAAACUUUGAAGAGUGAGAAAUGUUGGAACAUGCAUCAAUGAACGUCCGCCGCGCACCGGACGUAAACAGAGAGGGAACUGCUUCGAAGAACAUAGCAAAGAUACUGAAUGAGUUGAACGCAUAUUCUGUUGAGAAGACUUGCACACACAAGGACAAGAGAUUGAGUAAACGAACAUGAAAGGGGACGAGAGGAUGAAAAGACUGGGAGCAGCGACAGUACAUGUUGACGAUGGAGACACGGGGGAUUUAGGUGCGUCUACACCUAAUGCUCCAAGUGGGGAAGAGAGUAUGGAGGGUAUGGAGGCAGCAACAGUGCGCAGAGACGAUGUAGAGACUAGUGAUUUGGGUAAGUGUACGCCGAUUGCUCCGCGUGUGGAAUCCAUUUGUGAUGUCCACGUAAGCCAGGCAGCGGAUAGCAUCUGCACAACGAGUGUGGAAGUGAAUAUGGGCAGUUAUAAUGAAGUAACGGGUAAUGAGGUGGAGGAUGACGUAGCUUGAGACAGUACAGUUGAAAACUUGGAUUUGGCAUUCAGGGAAUCUUCAGAUGCGCCAUCGACAUUGG